AAAAAUAAACAUUGACGGCCUUCCAGUGUUUAAAAGUUCUAAGUACCAGUUUUGGCCCAUUUUAUGUUCAGUAUCUGAAAUUCCACUGCCGCCUUUUGUCGUAGGUAUCUAUGCUGGUGAUGGAAAGCCUAAAGAUCUUGACACUUUUUUGGGACCUUUUGUAACAGAAAUGCAGCAACUUCCAGAGGGACUUAAAAUAACAGACAAAUCACAAAGAGAAAAAAUAAUACAUGUCAAAUUAGGAGCAUUCAUUUGCGAUUCACCUGUAAGAGCUAUGAUAAAAGGUGUAUCGAACUUUAAUAGUAAACAUGGAUGCCUUAAAUGCACGGUGGUCGGGGAAUACUCUCACAAAUCAAAUACUGUGACAUUUCCCCAGUUUAAUUGCCCCAAAAGGAAUGACCAAGACUCGUGAAAAGAAAUACGGGCAACACCACAAGUUAGACUCGCCGUUACUCAAACUCAACAUUGAUAUGAUUGAAGAUUUUCCGGUGUCAGAUUCGCUGCAUCUCAUUGACCUGGGGCUUAUGAAAAGAUUACUAAUAGGAUGGCGUGAUGGCAAUUUUGGUAUUUAUCUAACUAAAUGGAGUGCUAGCGAUAUAGCUAAAGUUGACAAUUUCUUAAAUGAUUGUGAAAUGCCUACAGAAAUACAUCGGUCAGUUAGAUCACUGGACAUUUUAAAACACUGGAAAGGUUCAGAGUUUCGUAGUUUUCUUUACUACCUUAGCUUGGUGAUUCUUAAGGAGGUCUUAAAAGAAGAAGCUUAUACACAUUUCAUGCAUUUCUUUUGUGCUAUCACAAUCUGUUCGAUCGAAAAACAUUUUAAAUUCCUUCAGAUUGCUGAAGAAAUGUUGGCACAUUUUACAGAACAGUUCAAAAGAAUAUACGGUAAAGACUAUGUGACAAGUAACAUUCACAAUCUCUCACAUUUAGUUGACGAAGUUAAAAAAUUCGGGACUCUGCAAAAUUUUAAUGCCUACUAAUUCAAAAAUAAACUUCAACAUUUGAAGCAUAUGGUAAGACAUGGAAAAAAGCCACUACGUCAAAUUGCAAGGAGAAUCAUUGAAAGGGAUUUAGUUGAGUUAAAUAGUCUAACAACAGAGAACAACAAAUGUCCAGUUAUAAAGAAAAAUGUUUUAUGUUUAAAUUCAUUUAUAUUAUCAAAAAAGAAACAAGACCAAUGGUUUCUCACUAAUGAUAAUCACUUGGUUGAAUUCAUAUCAGUUUAUAUUAAAAACAAUAGUCAGACCCAGGAGCAAGAUAUAGAAAUACGUGGUUUUGUUGUGCAACAAACUCAAGAUGCAUUUGAAAAGCCACUAAAAUCUUCUUUUUUAAACAUUUAUCAGUGUGAUAAUGAUGAAUUACAUCGCAACAGAGAGGCCGAUAUUUUCAAAAUUUCAAUUAUUAAGUGU